rnacentral:rRNA from 5 species
CAGUGGCGAACGGGUGAGUAACACGUGGGCAAUCUGCCCUGCACUCUGGGACAAGCCCUGGAAACGGGGUCUAAUACCGGAUAUUACCUUCCUCUGCAUGGGGGUUGGUGGAAAGCUCCGGCGGUGCAGGAUGAGCCCGCGGCCUAUCAGCUUGUUGGUGGGGUAAUGGCCUACCAAGGCGACGACGGGUAGCCGGCCUGAGAGGGCGACCGGCCACACUGGGACUGAGACACGGCCCAGACUCCUACGGGAGGCAGCAGUGGGGAAUAUUGCACAAUGGGCGAAAGCCUGAUGCAGCGACGCCGCGUGAGGGAUGACGGCCUUCGGGUUGUAAACCUCUUUCAGCAGGGAAGAAGCGAAAGUGACGGUACCUGCAGAAGAAGCACCGGCUAACUACGUGCCAGCAGCCGCGGUAAUACGUAGGGUGCGAGCGUUGUCCGGAAUUAUUGGGCGUAAAGAGCUCGUAGGCGGCUUGUCACGUCGGUUGUGAAAGCCCGGGGCUUAACCCCGGGUCUGCAGUCGAUACGGGCAGGCUAGAGUUCGGUAGGGGAGAUCGGAAUUCCU